rnacentral:lncRNA from 1 species
CCACCACACCUGGCUAAUUUUUGUGUUUUUAGUAGAGACAGGGUUUCACCAUGUUGGCCAGGAUGGUCUCAGUCUUCUGGCCUCAUGAUCCCCCAGCUUUGCCCUCCCAAAGUGCUGGGAUUACAAGUGUGAGCCACCAUGCCUGGCCUCUCUGCCCCAUUUCUAAUAUGUGUUAUUUUUCCAGAGCAUACGAAUGAGGAAUAAAUCACAAGAGUGUUUUUUUUGUUGUUUAUUUUAUUGCUUCUCUCUCUUCAUUUAAAUAGGUGAAAAUUUGCCAUUCAGCAGUGAUUCAUAGGGCGGUAUGUGGAGGUGGAGGUACAUUAUUAUCUGUAUUAGGGCUCUUAAAACACUGAAACCGGGCUAAUCAUGAAGGCCAAUUCAAGGUGCUGACAGCCUUCCUGGAUGGGUAUGAAGAAAGAUUGUGUUAAGCAUAUUCACUGUUUAGUUUUAAACACAGAUUCUGCUGAAGUGGUUGGAAAAGUGCUUGGAAGCAGUUUACAUUACUGAGUAGGUCCAGCAUAUUCCCUGUGCUCUCUGUCCACUGGCUCUGGAGGUAGGUAGAAUGGGCAGGGACCUUCUAGGUAUCCUUUGAACAAUGUCAGUAACCCCCAACUUCCCUCAACAACGAUGCCCCAGCAGUUUUCUUCCUCCUACAAGAAUGAGACUUAUUCCUUGAUCUAUGCUAGUUUUAUCAUCUCAAGGGUCCUCUUUUGUGCUGCAAAUGUCUUGGGUAGGGUAAUAAUUCACAGUCAUGAACAUCUUCACAGGAUUCCAUAAAGGGACAAAGGAAUGGCAUUUGUAAGAGUAGAAGGGGCUCUUUUGUAUUACUUUGCAGUCUCACCUUUUCAGUUGUCACUGUUUCCCUCACUUCAUUCUCUGCAAUGUGGUCAAUACCCAAGCAAGAGGCCUUACCUCCAAAGGAUGGAGAAACAUAAAAAGUGACAAUAUGGAAGAUGAAUAUAAGAAAGAGAACAGAAAUACAAUUAACCUCUUUCUUUUGGUGAUUGGGACCAGUAAUGACUUGAAGCCUAUAAUUAAGAUAACUUUAAACAAAUUUUUGUGACACUCAGAUCCACAAAGAUUUAAUAGGGGAACAAAGUAGCCUUUGGAUGGUUCAGUGCCCUGAGGCCUUGGUUCUCAGGGGAAUCCUGGUAGAAUAUACUAGUGAAAGGUCACUCCCCACUUACUACCAGUGGCCUAACUGCAAUCCUGUACACAGAGUCAACCUUAAGGCAGAGAUGUAGUAAGGAAGGGGAUUUCAAAGGGACCCUUUGUGAGUGUCCCUGAUCUGCCUGUCACUAGGAGGCUGGAGGGCCAAAGGAGUAGGCUGAGAGAUUGAGUACCAGAAGUCCUAGAUGCAGGGAUGCUUCCUCCAGGUGCCACUGCAGAGGUCUGAUGACCUGCCUGCUUCUAUAGAUACUGCAACACUGUUUUGUCUUCCAUCAUGAAGGUCACUCAGAUUACACAGGUACUGCAAUAAGCAGUUCUGAGCAUCAAAGAGCCUAAAAUGAAAAGUAUGAAAUCUGUUGGGACCAGGUAUGGGAUGGACAAAGGUCAGUCAGAACACAUACCCAGUGAAAUGAAGUAAAAUGAAAGGCCAUGAUGAUCUCAAACUAUUUAAUGACAUGGGGAAAUGAUCUCAUCUGAACAGUAAAGAAUAAAAGGAGUCUACAAAGCCUUCAAAACUUGGUGAGGGCAAUCAAAGUCCCUCUAUCUUACCACCACUGAAGCUCAUCACGGACCCCAUACUGAAAGUACCUGGACUUUAUGUGCAUGAACAAUCCCUGACUUUAUGAUGAUGGAGAAGGUGGUUCAGGGAAGGCUGCCUGGCUUGAUUCUGUAGCUGCCGGCCCAGAACUGAGCUCCUUCUCUUCCCCGUACACAGCUGCUUUUGGCCCUCUUGACGGUUGUACCACCUUCUUUCACUUGUCCCCAGUCCUCUUCAUACCCACUCUCUUACUGGUCCUUAACAGAUGGUCACCAAAUUCAUUCUGCCCCCUGACUCUCACUUCAGUGGGUCUCUCUUUUCCAACCCUGAGGCAGUACCCCGAUUCUAAUGCCUGUCCCCUUUAGCCCACUGCUUGCAGAGGCCCCGCCAUAGUGCCCAGCUGAUCCUGGAACCUAUUUUUCUCUCCCUGAUGUGGCUGUUGCUGUGUCUUAGGCUGCUGAGAGCAUAUUGUCACAUGAUCAAAAAGAGAACAUUUAGGAUUUCACAACCCUGAAAUUAUAGUAAGCCUGUUAAUUUGGGUCUUGGGCUAAAGACUGCAAUAGUACCCACUCUGCAACCUGAGUGGAGGACUGCAUAUUUACUCACAUUAGAAGCAAACAAAGUUUUGGUAAGAUCAUUAGGAUAGAUUCCUAAAACUAAUGUAUAUAUCAAAGGCCAUGCAAUUUUAACUGUUUGUUAAAAAUCUCACUCCAGAAAGAUUGUUUUCAAAUUAUAUUCUCAUGAGUAAUGAGAGGGAAUUUUUUUUGCCUCUAUCAUUACUAAAACUUUAAUUUCAAUAAAGAUAAUAUUCCCAAAAAUAAAUACUUUUUCCCACAAUAAAAUUCCUUUUUUUGGGUCCUGUUUCACCUCUAUCACCAAAAAGGUAGGCUUUUACAAAAUGUUUACUUUCUCCCUCUCUUUUGCCCUACCAUAAUUGAAACAAUUGGAAUACUUUUAAUUCUACUUUCACACCCUACUCUCAUCCCCCAAACCAUGGGGCUGGUGGAGAUAGUUGAUGUCUGAAGGUAUAAAAGUAAUACAGCUAAGGAUUUUUUUAAAAAAUCAUUUUUAGGCCUCUAUAGGGAGCAAUAUUUAACUUAUAAUAUGAAAGCCUAUUAAUCAGCUUUCAGAUAUUGAGCAUUAAAUGACAUUUUUAGGGAUGAAGACAACAGCAAAGUUGAAUUUAGACCUUGUCAAAAUUUAAGGAGGUCUCCAACAUUAAGGUGUUCCCAACUCCCCAAAAGAAUAUAAGUAUAUUCAAAUAAUGAGUUAGCAAAGUUACCAAGUACAAUGGUGAAAGAAAAAAAAAGAAUACCUGCCCAUAAGAUGUUGUGAAAAAAUACGAGGAUCAAACAUAAAAAAAAAAAUUCAGAUGUAACCACCCACAAAUUUGGGGGCCACAUUCACAUUCAGCAGGAAAUCUUAAGGAGGAGAAUUUAUUCUAAAGUGGUUCUGGGCUGGUUGUGUAGAGAAUAUAAGGUUAAAGGAUAUGUACAUUCAAAUUGACUUUCAACUUAAAAGAUUGCCUACAAUCCUUCCAAAGGCUCCACUGCUCCCAGUUUGAUCUGCCUUCAUGGAAUCACAGAGAUAGCCUAUGUUGGAAGCCAAAGCUGUGUAAUACCCUGACUAUAAUCAUCAUUCUCAGUGCUUUCCUUUACUGUUAUUACCUGAGUGGGAAUAUUACCCUGGCUGAAUUUGGAGUCCCUCUCUCACCAACUGUCCAGCCAUUUCCAAAGUGAGUUUAAUGAGUAUUCUUAUAUCUCUAGUGUUAGCAGAAGACUAGACAACAGAGUGCAUUGAACAGGACUCUCCUGGGCAACGCUGGAACCUCAGACCAGCAUGGGUCAUUUGAACCCAUUCAAUGAAUUAGCGUCUACACAAUGUAUGUAAUCAAGGCCAUCAAGAUGAGAGUAAGGAACUUGCCAUGUAAGUAGCCAUGACAUCAGAUCCAGCCUUGUCCCCUCUGCCAAAACAAAAACAUAUUAAUUUGUAAUACUUAAAAAUGAUGAAGACAUGUGUAACGAGGUCCUAAUAUGUACAAAGAAAUGUUAGAUGUGCCUCAUGCGCAUGACCUUAUUUCAUCAUCAUUUUAAGAUGGAGUCCAUAUUUCUGCCUACUCUUUUACACCAGUACAGAUAGAGAAACAGGCAUUUGCAAACAAGAGAUUAUACUCCAGGUAUUUUUUUAAAUUGGAAAUUUUAAGAAUGUUUUCUCAAUAGUUAAUAUAACAACUAGACAAAAUACCAGCACGGACAUAGAAAAUCUAAAGAAUAAUACACAUGUCUAGAACACUGUAUCAAACAGCUAAUACACAGUGUUUUCGAGUGCAUGUGGUACAUUCACCAAGAUAAGCCAUUUACUAAGGCAUUAAACAAGUCUCGAUAAAUUUUAAAAGCUUGAUGUUCUUUGGUCAUAGUAGGAGAAAAAGCAUUUGACAACAUUGAACAUCAGUUCAUAAAAAAUCCCAGCAAAUUGGGAUUGGAAGGGAAUUCUUGUCUGAUAAGGAGCUUCUACAAAAACCUAUAGCUAACGUCAUACUUAAUGGUAAAAUGUUGAGUGUACUUCAGGUAUUUUUAAGUGGGUAUAUUUAAGCCCUUAGUUCAUAUAAUUGCAAGCAAGGCUGAGGGAGAAGGAUCUAGCUGUCAUAUUAUUUUCCAUGGUGUUAAGAUUAAUACCCACUAAAACAGAUACUGUUAAUAUUCUAUCUUUAUCCCCUUGGUACUCUUGGCCAUUUUAAUCCACCUUAGCUCUGCUUUUGCUUUUUCCCCCAAUAGCCAGAAUCUGUGGCUUUUUGUCACAGGACUACAGAACCAACCUCCUUUUGUCUCCAAGCAUGAAGAGCCAGUAUCUGAGAAUUAAAGUCCUCCAGAGAGUAGACUUUAGCUAAUAAUUGGUAGAUAUAUAGUUAUAAGUAUUCCAGCUCUGUUGUUCUGUUUGAGACAACUGUGAUUUGUGACCUGUAUUGUCUCCAGUGUCCCCCUAUUGGAUUGUGCCAAAGUGAUCCUAAAUGGUACCUUGGUUGAUAUCAAAAUAUUGUUCGGCCUUCUUCCUCUCCCUGUUGCAUGGUCCCACUCCCUGGUCACUAUAUUUUUACUUGGACCACUUCCUAAUAUAUCACUUUCCGAUGAGUCCUCAAUCAGAGUCAGCUUAUGGGGAACCCAAUCUAAAGGCACAGCCAAGUUGUUUUCCAAAAUAUUUCUUUUACUUUACACUCUUGCCCUCAAUGUUUGUGGUCCCAUUUCCUCACUAGUAUUUGGUACCAUCGGUCUAACUUUUUGUCAAGUGUGUUGCUUUAAUUACUUUGUAUUGACUAAAUUUAUAUGUUAACUAUGCAUAUUAACUUUUUGGAGUGAUCACUAAAAUAAUGUAAAUAGAAUGUAUAACUUCUUAAUGAGUAGAAAAAAGUAAUGAAUUAAUACAAGGAACUUAGAACGUUUUAAUUACAAAUAAUUGCCUCCCAGGGUAAAUGUUCUUCUUCUCAUUACUUUAGCUCUGUUUUUUCAUCUUCAAAUUAGACAUUUAUGCUAUUGUUUGUUUAGAUUUAGCCAUGUAUUUGCCAUUUUCUUUGCCAGCAUUCCAGACAUUUAUACUAGUACAUUUUCCUUCUUCUAAAGUAUAUCCUAUAGAUAUACUCCUUUAAUAAUGGUCUAUUAGGGAAACUGUGAUGUCUUUCAUUUUCUGAAAAGUUAUUUUAUCCUCAUUCUUUUAAAAUUAUUCUUGUUGAGUCUCUUUGACUUGUGGAACCAUUCAUAUCUCUUUUUUUCUAUAUAAUAUUGUAUUAUGUACCACCAAAACCUUAGUGAUGCAAUAGUUCUUAAAUGACAAUUUCACUUUUUUGUCCUAAAUUUUUCCCGUUAAUCCAUCGUCAUCAGUUUGGCAAGUUUUGAUACAGGUGCUUUUAAUGUUUGCAUGUAAGCAGGCAGUAACUAUUAUGUCACAGCAGCCCCUGGGCCAACAACAAUUCAUAAUUUUGAUUGAUUGUAAUAAACACCUUGAUAUAAGAGAUAUUAAAAAGUGACAAAUUUGAAUAGAAUUGAUGGAAACAGCAUUAUUCUGUAGUCUUUUAGCUUCCAUUUUUGCUAUUAAAAAAUUAUUUGUCAGCCUAA